CAGCCGCCACGGGAAUACAGAGGGUGCGAGCGUUAAUCGGAUUUACUGGGCGUAAAGCGUGCGUAGGCGGCUAAUUGAGUCGGAUGUGAAAUCCCCGAGCUUAACUUGGGAAUUGCAUUCGAUACUGGUUAGCUAGAGUGUGGGAGAGGAUGGUAGAAUUCCAGGUGUAGCGGUGAAAUGCGUAGAGAUCUGGAGGAAUACCGAUGGCGAAGGCAGCCAUCUGGCCUAACACUGACGCUGAGGUACGAAAGCAUGGGGAGCAAACAGGAUUAGAUACCCCCGUAGUCCAUGUCUCUUAUAC
rnacentral:rRNA from 1 species